UACGAAGGGGGCUAGCGUUGCUCGGAAUUACUGGGCGUAAAGGGCGCGUAGGCGGCGCAUUUAGUCAGGCGUGAAAGCCCUGGCUCAACCUGGGACUGCGCUUGAUACGGGUGUGCUAGAGGACGGAAGAGGUCGCGGAAUUCCCAGUGUAGAGGUGAAAUUCGUAGAGAUGUGGAGGAACACCGAUGGCGAAGGCGAGCCUUC
rnacentral:rRNA from 1 species